UACGUAGGGGGGCAAGCGUUGUCCGGAAUUAUUGGGCGUAAAGGGCUCGUAGGCGGUUUGUCGCGUCGGGAGUGAAAACUCAGGGCUUAACCCUGAGCCUGCUUCCGAUACGGGCAGACUAGAGGUAUGCAGGGGAGAACGGAAUUCCUGGUGUAGCGGUGAAAUGCGUAGAUAUCUGGAGGAAUACCGGUGGCGAAGGCGGCAUCCUGGACCGGCAGUUGACGCUGAUGAGCGAAAGCUAGGGGAGCGAACGAGG
rnacentral:rRNA from 1 species